UAUCACGCUCUCCUCUACAAUAUUAGGUUCCCGUGGGUGCAGCUUAAGGGCCUGCCAUUUCCAUAGCCUUCUCUACACUCGCUUCUCAUAGUAGCCAUUCGAUCAAGGAAGCCUUCGUUAGCCUUCAGGAGAAACGGACAGCCCUUUACCACAUGGAUUCACAAUAAAGCAAUGGAGACACUGCCCAGAAGCUAUCUUAAUCCUCCUUUAUGGAUGGCUGGGAAGAGGAAUAAUCAAUAUUUUAGCAAGUCUUUGGAUUUUGUGUCAGACAACCUGGAACGUAGACACACAAAGCCUUAGACUCAGAAGUCUUCUCGCUAUUGACAAGCUCGCACCCUUAUUGGACAUAUACUAGUGAUAUCCACAUGAUUACUGAUUUUCUCGGAAUCUUUCAUCCUCUGCCGGUAAAUCAGUGAGGAGGGAGAAGAGUUUCCUCUCCACUAUGCGUACUUCAACAUCCAUCCGCUCCCUCCUCCAUCAUAGUUGUUUCCUCGCUGGUGACAUGACAUGAAAUAUGGCUGCAGGUGAUCUUUCAAGUCUUCUUUACCAAUAAAAUGAUGACUGUGUUACUUCUAUAAAACAGAUUAGAGGUGCGAGAGUUUGCAAAGCUGGGUGCCUUUAGCUCACCGAACAUUAUCAAAACAUGGAAGAAACACGCUUGGGGAGGCUAACUCUGGUGUUCUGAUACGGCAAAGACGCUGCUGCUAUCCAAAUGACUUCUGGAAGCAUCCGUCUCCUUCUACACCCCCAGUAACUGCUUCCAUUGUGAUUUUCCAUCCUGACACUCG
rnacentral:lncRNA from 14 species